rnacentral:rRNA from 1 species
AGAGUUUGAUCCUGGCUCAGGACGAACGCUGGCGGCACGCUUAACACAUGCAAGUCGAACGAGAGAAGAGGAGCUUGCUUUUCUGAUCUAGUGGCGGACGGGUGAGUAACACGUGAGCAAUCUGCCUUUCAGAGGGGGAUACCGAUUGGAAACGAUCGUUAAUACCGCAUAACAUAAUUGAACCGCAUGAUUUGAUUAUCAAAGAUUUAUCGCUGAAAGAUGAGCUCGCGUCUGAUUAGCUAGUUGGUAAGGUAACGGCUUACCAAGGCGACGAUCAGUAGCCGGACUGAGAGGUUGAUCGGCCACAUUGGGACUGAGACACGGCCCAGACUCCUACGGGAGGCAGCAGUGGGGAAUAUUGCACAAUGGAGGAAACUCUGAUGCAGCGAUGCCGCGUGAGGGAAGAAGGUUUUAGGAUUGUAAACCUCUGUCUUCAGGGACGAAAAAAGACGGUACCUGAGGAGGAAGCUCCGGCUAACUACGUGCCAGCAGCCGCGGUAAUACGUAGGGAGCGAGCGUUGUCCGGAAUUACUGGGUGUAAAGGGAGCGUAGGCGGGAUCGCAAGUCAGAUGUGAAAACUAUGGGCUUAACCCAUAAACUGCAUUUGAAACUGUGGUUCUUGAGUGAAGUAGAGGUAAGCGAAUUCCUAGUGUAGCGGUGAAAUGCGUAGAUAUUAGGAGGAACAUCAGUGGCGAAGGCGGCUUACUGGGCCUUAACUGACGCUGAGGCUCGAAAGCGUGGGGAGCAAACAGGAUUAGAUACCCUGGUAGUCCACGCCGUAAACGAUGAUUACUAGGUGUGGGGGGACUGACCCCUUCCGUGCCGCAGCAAACGCAAUAAGUAAUCCACCUGGGGAGUACGACCGCAAGGUUGAAACUCAAAGGAAUUGACGGGGGCCCGCACAAGCAGUGGAGUAUGUGGAUUAAUUCGAAGCAACGCGAAGAACCUUACCAGGUCUUGACAUCGUAUGCAUAGCUCAGAGAUGAGUGAAAUCUCUUCGGAGACAUAUAGACAGGUGGUGCAUGGUUGUCGUCAGCUCGUGUCGUGAGAUGUUGGGUUAAGUCCCGCAACGAGCGCAACCCUUACUGUUAGUUGCUACGCAAGAGCACUCUAGCAGGACUGCCGUUGACAAGACGGAGGAAGGUGGGGAUGACGUCAAAUCAUCAUGCCCCUUAUGACCUGGGCCUCACACGUACUACAAUGGCUGUCAACAGAGGGAAGCAAAGCCGCGAGGUGGAGCGAACCCCUAAAAGCAGUCUUAGUUCGGAUUGUAGGCUGCAACCCGCCUACAUGAAGUCGGAAUUGCUAGUAAUCGCAGAUCAGCAUGCUGCGGUGAAUACGUUCCCGGGCCUUGUACACACCGCCCGUCACGCCAUGGGAGUCGGUAACACCCGAAGCCUGUAGUCUAACCGCAAGGAGGACGCAGUCGAAGGUGGGAUUGAUGACUGGGGUGAAGUCGUAACAAGGUA